rnacentral:rRNA from 1 species
GAUGAACGCUGGCGGCGUGCCUAAUACAUGCAAGUCGAGCGAACAGACGAGGAGCUUGCUCCUCUGACGUUAGCGGCGGACGGGUGAGUAACACGUGGAUAACCUACCUAUAAGACUGGGAUAACUUCGGGAAACCGGAGCUAAUACCGGAUAACAUGUUGAACCGCAUGGUUCAACAGUGAAAGACGGUCUUGCUGUCACUUAUAGAUGGAUCCGCGCCGCAUUAGCUAGUUGGUAAGGUAACGGCUUACCAAGGCAACGAUGCGUAGCCGACCUGAGAGGGUGAUCGGCCACACUGGAACUGAGACACGGUCCAGACUCCUACGGGAGGCAGCAGUAGGGAAUCUUCCGCAAUGGGCGAAAGCAUGACGGAGCAACGCCGCGUGAGUGAAGAAGGUCUUCGGAUCGUAAAACUCUGUUAUUAGGGAAGAACAAAUGUGUAAGUAACUAUGCACGUCUUGACGGUACCUAAUCAGAAAGCCACGGCUAACUACGUG